AUCUGGUUGAUUCUGCCAGUAGCAUAUGCUUAUCUUGGAGAUUAAGCCAUGCAUGUCUAGGUAUAAGUUAUAUACGGCGAAACUGCGAAUGGCUCAUUAAAACAGUUAUAGUAUAUUUGAUGAUGUUUUUAGAUGGAUAACCGUUGGGAAACCAGAGCUAAUACAUGCAUUAAAAGCCUUUGGGCUGUAUUUAUUAGCUAUAAACCAAUCCCUUAGGGGUUGUGAGGAGUCAUAAUAACUGAUCGAAGCGCACUUGUGUGUGCUAAAUCUUUCUAGUUUCUGCUCUAUCAGCUUUGAUGGUAGUGUAUUGGACUACCAUGGCUUUCACGGGUAACGGAGAAUUAGGGUUCGAUUCCGGAGAGGGAGCCUGAGAAACGGCUACCACAUCCACGGUAGGCAGCAGGCGCGUAAAUUACCCAAUCCUGAUUAAGGGAGGUAGUUACAAGAAAUAUGGAAUUCGCUUUUGCGAAGAUCUGACUGUGUUGAAUGUAAACCGUUCUUCGAAUGCGAUUGGAGGGCAAGUCUGGUGCCAGCAGCCGCGGUAAUUCCAGCUCCAAUAGUGUAUCUUAAUGUUGUUGCAGUUAAAAAGCUCGUAGUUGAAUUUCUGGCAGCCUGAUCGGACUUUAUGCGAGAUCUUGGGCUGUCAUCCGCGUUGGAUUCUCAUUCGCUCGCAAGGGCAGUGGGUGGAAGGCGCAUUUUACUUUGAAGAAAUUAGAGUGUUCCAGGCAGGCUAUGCUUGAAUAUUACAGCAUGGAAUAAUGGAAUAGGACAGGUUCAUUUUAUUGGUUAUUGGACUUUGUAAUGAUUAACAGGGACAGUUGGGGGCAUUCGUAUUGAAUAGUCAGAGGUGAAAUUCGUAGAUUUAUUCAAGACGCACUAAUGCGAAGGCAUUUGCCAAGGAUGUUUUCAUUAAUCAAGAACGAAAGUUAGGGGAUCAAAGACGAUUAGAUACCGUCGUAGUCCUAACUAUAAACUAUACCAACUAGGGAUUGCAGGGGGAGUCCUCUGUCAGCACCUAAUGAGA
rnacentral:rRNA from 1 species